GAAAAUAAAUCAAUAGUUGACAAACGAUGACAUGACAGAGUCAUCCGUGUCAUGGAGUAAUUUUUGCUAAAUGCUUUGAGAAAUACAGUAAACAAAUUAUGUGUGCCAUUAUUAGGGUCUGUAGUGCGACGCAACAAUAAGAAGGCAUAAGGUAUUGCCUCGUUGUAUUUUUGCGUGCACUACGGUACCUUUAGAGGAAAUCGCUUAUCAGGCUCGUAAGCAGCCCAGCUGCAUAUCAUCACGCGCAUCGGCUGGGUGUCGCCGUAUGAAAGAUGAUUUGCCUCUCCCUGUACGCCCUGAUCGCCUCAGCCACGAUCCUAGCGUGCUUCCCGGUCUGCUACAAACAGCUAGAGCUGAACAAAUUCGUCAAGUGUCUCAAGAAGUAGUUCCGCUAUGAUCAUUUGUAUGUCGCUAUGCACUGUUCUGAUUGCUGCUGGAUGUAUAUCCUGUGCCCCCAUUGUGUUGGACGCGUAUUGGCCCAAAAGACUCUCGAAAGGAAGGAUGGAGAACGCGCCCUCGUGCAAAAGUCCAUGUUGUCCAAAAAGGUCUGGUCUGAAGUGAUUUGAAUAAACAUGAUAAACUUAAAU